GAUGAACGCUGGCGGCGUGCCUAAUACAUGCAAGUCGAGCGAAGCGGGGACGGGUGAGUAACACGUGGAUAACCGCCUAUAAGACUGGGAUAACUUCGGGAAACCGGAGCUAAACCGGCUACUUAUAGACGGAUCCGCGGUGCAUUAGCUAGUUGGUAAGGUAACGGCAUACCAAGGCAACGAUGCAUAGCCGACCUGAGAGGGUGGUCGCCCACCCUGGAGCUGGGGCACGGUCCAGACUCCGACGUGAGGCAGCCGGAGGGGAACUUCCGCGAUGGGCGAGAGCCUGACGGGGCAACGCCGCGUGUGGCAUGGAGCUGUUCGGAUCGUAAAGCUCAGUUGUCAGGGACGCGGUACCUAAUCAGAACACCACUGCUAACUACGAGCCAGCAGCCGCGGUAAUUC
rnacentral:rRNA from 1 species